rnacentral:rRNA from 1 species
UACGUAGGGUGCGAGCGUUGUCCGGAAUUACUGGGCGUAAAGCGUGCGUAGGCGGUCGUGUAAGUCGGGUGUGAAAGCCCCGGGCUCAACCUGGGAAUUGCAUUCGAGACUGCACGGCUGGAGUGCGGAAGAGGGAAGCGGAAUUUCCGGUGUAGCGGUGAAAUGCGUAGAUAUCGGAAGGAACAUCAGUGGCGAAAGCGGCUUCCUGGUCCAGCACUGACGCUCAGGCACGAAAGCGUGGGGAGCAAACAGG